UACGAAGGGUGCAAGCGUUACUCGGAAUUACUGGGCGUAAAGCGUGCGUAGGUGGUUGUUUAAGUCUGUUGUGAAAGCCCUGGGCUCAACCUGGGAACUGCAGUGGAAACUGGACAACUAGAGUGUGGUAGAGGGUAGCGGAAUUCCCGGUGUAGCAGUGAAAUGCGUAGAGAUCGGGAGGAACACCAAAGGCGAAGGCAGUGUCCUGGGGAGUACCUGACGCUCAGGUGCGAAAGCCAGGGGAGCGAACGGG
rnacentral:rRNA from 1 species